rnacentral:lncRNA from 1 species
CACCUGUCAGUGGCCUGCAGGUGGCCAUGCUGAGGGAUACCACUGCAGUGUGACACUCCUGUGAUCUGGGCCUGGCAGGAUGAUGACCCAUAGCUCCAUUUCCUGUGCUGGCCCCAGCCUGGGCGGGGAGGGGGCUGAGACUCUGGGCCCAGAUCCCACCUUCCGCCCCCCCACCCCUUGGCCGCAGCUUCCUGCCUCUAGAGCCCAAUGGGCAUCUGAUGUAUACCUUCUAGGAAGAACAUGGACUGAAGGUGGAGAUGCUUCUCCACCACCAGGCUCUGCUCUAUUCUUCAGGAUGGUCAUCUGAAAAGCAGGCUCAACACCUGUGCCUCAGGUGAGCCGGUCGUAGCCAGGCUCUACCAUGUCCCUGGAGGUUGAGCAUGGGUGACAAGGUCUUUUUCUCCACCCCAUUUUAGGCCCCUCACACCUUCUUGAAGCAUUCUUCCACCAAAUGGAGCCAACAAAUGGGCCUGGGAGGGGGUGGAGCUAAGGGCCAGAGGAAGGGGACUUCAGUAGCUGUCUGCUUGGCCAGCCCCCUUGGCUUCCCAUACCCUG